rnacentral:rRNA from 1 species
CCUACGGGGGGCAGCAGUGGGGAAUAUUGGGCAAUGGGCGCAAGCCUUACCCAGCAAUACCGCGUGAGUGAAGAAGGUCUUCGGAUUGUAAAGCUCUUUGAGCAGGGAAGAACAGAUGACGGUACCUGAAGAACAAGCCCCGGCUAACUACGUGCCAGCAGCCGCGGUAAAACGGAAGGGGCGAGCGUUGUCCGGAAUGAAUGGGCGUUAAGGGUGGGUAGGCGGGAUAAGAAGUUAGAAGUGAAAUACCCGGAGCUUAACUCGGGGGCUGCUCCUGAGACUGUUUAGCUUGAGUGCGGGAGAGGUAGGUGGAAUUCCUAGUGUAGCGGUGGAAUGCGUAGAUAUUAGGAGGAACACCAGAGGCGAAGGCGAUUAACUGGACCGUAACUGACGCUGAGGCACGAAAGUGUGGGUAGCAAACAGGAUUAGAUACCCUAGUAGUC